GGGGCUGCCCUGGUUUCGACGUGGGUUCGGAAUCGGCGUGGUGCAUGUCGAGCUUGAGUGACGCUCGUAAAUCUCCAUUCAAAAAACUAACUGCAAACGACGAACGUUUCGCACUCGCCGCUUAAAUACCGGUGAGCUUUGCAACAGCACGCUGAUGGGCUGGGCAAGGGGGUAGCAAUACCUCCAGGCUGCAAAGGAAUUCACAUCAGCUGGCCGCGCACCGGGCUCCUUGGUGCGUAGCGAGAUCCAAGGGGGCUGGCUUUCCUGGUAGCGUGUGUCUGCGCGAUCUGGAAGGCGAGACUCAAAUCAGAACACUAAACAUGUAGAUCUGCCCGAAGAAGGCUUGCGGACGCGGGUUCAAUUCCCGCCAGCUCCACCA
rnacentral:tmRNA from 1 species